UAGUGAGUUUGAUCCUGGCUCAGGAUGAACGCUAGCGGCAGGCUUAAUACAUGCAAGUCGAGGGGUAGCAGGUCUGUAGCAAUACAGAUGCUGACGACCGGCAAACGGGUGCGGAACACGUACAGAACCUUCCUUCGAGUGGGAGAUAGCCCAGGGAAACUUGGAGUAAUAUCCCAUAGGAUCAUAGAGUGGCAUCACUUAGUGAUUAAACGAUUUAUCGCUUGAAGAUGGCUGUGCGGCUGAUUAGGUAGUUGGUGUAGGUAACGGCUCACCAAGCCUUGAUCAGUAACUGGUGUGAGAGCACGACC
rnacentral:rRNA from 1 species